rnacentral:rRNA from 1 species
CAGCACCUCAAGUGGUCAGGAUGAUUAUUGGGCCUAAAGCAUCCGUAGCCGGCGCUGUAAGUUUUCGGUUAAAUCUGUACGCUCAACGUACAGGCUGCCGGGAAUACUGCAGCGCUGGGGAGUGGGAGAGGUAGACGGUACUCGGUAGGAAGGGGUAAAAUCCUUUGAUCUAUUGAUGACCACCUGUGGCGAAGGCGGUCUACCAGAACACGUCCGACGGUGAGGGAUGAAAGCUGGGGAGCAAACCGGAUUAGAUACCCGAGUAGUCC